CAUCUGCAUGUGUCCAGAGGCUUGCUCUCCUCGCCUCAGGUUUUCAUGUGAAAAUUGAAAUCUUUAAUCCAUCUGGAAUUUGUUUCAUUUGUGGCAACAAGAGAGAGCAAGAGUGAGAGGUGGAGAGGCAGACACAGAAUCCGAAGCAGGCUCCAGGCUCCGAGCUGUCAGCACAGAGCCCGACGCGGGGCUCGAACCCACCAACCGUGAGAUCGUGACCUGGCUGAAGUCGGACGCUUAACCGACUGAGCCACCCAGGUACCCCUCCCUUUAAUUUUUAAGUUAAAUUCUUCAUUCAUUUAUUUUCACUCUUUUUUGUAACAACAAAUAUAUUUGAGGCUAUACAUUUUCCUUAA